rnacentral:tRNA from 1 species
UUUUGGUGGCUGAAUUAAUAGGCGAUAGAUUGUAAAUCUUUUUAUGACUUUUGUCCCAGAGC